UGCAGUCGAACGGUAGCAGGAAGUGCUUGCACUUUGCUGACGAGUGGCGGACGGGUGAGUAAUACUUAGGAACAUGCCUUUGUGUGGGGGAUAACCAUUGGAAACGAUGGCUAAUACCGCAUAAUGUCUUUGGACCAAAGAGGGCUUUCGGGCUCUCGCGCAAAGAGUGGCCUAAGUGAGAUUAGCUUGUUGGUGAGGUAAAGGCUCACCAAGGCGACGAUCUCUAGCUGUUCUGAGAGGAAGAUCAGCCACACUGGGACUGAGACACGGCCCAGACUCCUACGGGAGGCAGCAGUGGGGAAUAUUGCACAAUGGGGGCAACCCUGAUGCAGCCAUGCCGCGUGUGUGAAGAAGGCCUUCGGGUUGUAAAGCACUUUCAGUUGUGAGGAAAGGUUGGUGGUUAAUACCCAUCAGCUGUGACGUUAGCAACAGAAGAAGCACCGGCUAACUCCGUGCCAGCAGCCGCGGUAAUACGGAGGGUGCGAGCGUUAAUCGGAAUUACUGGGCGUAAAGCGCACGCAGGCGGUUAUAUAAGCUAGAUGUGAAAGCCCCGGGCUCAACCUGGGAAUAGCAUUUAGAACUGUAUGACUAGAGUCUUGGAGAGGGGAGUGGAAUUCCAGGUGUAGCGG
rnacentral:rRNA from 1 species